GUGCGCUGCCACUUUAAGAGCGCAUGAGCAGUAAGGAAGGAGGAGAUAAAGAGAGCUCGUUCAGCUCUUUGGGGAGGGGCUCUUGGGUGGCGCGACAGUUUGAUUGUGUGUGCUGUGCUGCAGAAGUUUUGUUUGUUUUCAGCGUGUGUAGUUUAGAGUAUUUAACUCAAUCAUCGGUGUAAUCGCUCUAGGUCGUGGUUGUUUUCGUUUGGGACCGCGCCCGUUAUGGAUCGCAUGGAUAUAACUCAAUCAUCGGUGUAAUCGCUCUAGGUCGUGGUUGUUUUCGUUUGGGACCGCGCCCGUUAUGGAUCGCAUGGAUAUAACUCAAUCAUCGGUGUAAUCGCUCUAGGUCGUGGUUGUUUUCGUUUGGGACCGCGCCCGUUAUGGAUCGCAUGGAUAUAACUCAAUCAUCGGUGUAAUCGCUCUAGGUCGUGGUUGUUUUCGUUUGGGACCGCGCCCGUUAUGGAUCGCAUGGAUAUAACUCAAUCAUCGGUGUAAUCGCUCUAGGUCGUGGUUGUUUUCGCUUGGGACCGCGCCCGUUAUGGAUCGCAUGGAUUAGUAGCAACAUUGUUGCGAAGCUUUAACAUACAAACCAACAAACCAUCGGACAGUUAGACAGUACACCUGCACGCCUGAAGACCACAGCUAAGAUCUCUCUUAUCUUUUUCUCUUUCUCUUCCCUCUCAUUCCAGUGCUUUACCCUGCAACAGACUCUCUAUUUUUCAAAUGCACUUCCCAUUGAAGUUCAUUAGAGCUGGACUAUUAUUUCCCUGCCAGAAGUGUUUGGAGGGACAUUUUAGUAGGUUGCUUGCAAGUUGUAUAUUAUGUGAACUGUAUUGAGGUGGGGUGUACUAAUGACAUGUGGCCGUGAAGACUGUGGACAUUUUAAGGCCUUUGUUGUGUCGAUGAACACCCCCCACAUUCAUACCCUCUGCACUCAUCCACUAGAAAAUAAUACAGAUUAUUGCAAAUCCUAUGUUGAUGACUGGGUUCGUUCUUGUAUGAAGUUGCUGUUGAAUUGCUCUGCCAUUAUUAGUAUUAGUAUUAUUGUAUGAGGUAUUCUUGUUGGGGUUACCCCUGUGUUGUGAUGUGGGUUUUAUAUGGUGUGUAUUCUCUUUUCUCUCCACUGGCUAUCUGGUAAACAGGCUACACUCUAGGCAGUCUCUUCUGCUGAUGUGUGUGUGUCUGGUAGUGGUACUCUCUCUAUUCUACUGUUUUCCUUUCGGCAUGGUUAAUACCUGCCUGGCGCCCGAACAAAAUCUUUCUUUACCCUCUCUAAUAAAUACCGCUACAAGGUCACCAGUUUCCCCUGACUCAUCUUAGAGAGACUGGCAUCACUUAAAGAUGUGCUACAUGAUUAGGAUUAACCAGUUUCCCCUGACUCAUCUUAGAGAGACUGGCAUCACUUAAAGAUGUGCUACAUGAUUAGGUUUAACCAGUUUCCCCUGACUCAUCUUAGAGAGACUGCCAUCACUUAAAGAUGUGCUACAUGAUUAGGAUUAACCAGUUUCCCCUGACUCAUGUUAGAGAGGCUGGCAUCACUUAAAGAUGUGCUACAUGAUUAGGAUUAACCAGUUUCCCCUGACUCAUUUUAGAGAGGCUGGCAUCACUUAAAGAUGUGCUACAUGAUUAGGAUUAACCAGUUUCCCCUGACUCAUCUUAGAGAGACUGGCAUCACUUAAAGAUGUGCUACAUGAUUAGGAUUAACCAGUUUCCCCUGACUCAUCUUAGAGAGGCUGGCAUCACUUAAAGAAAGGAUACAAAAGUACCGGAGAAUCUCUUUAACCAUCUCAUUCACAGCUCCUCCUGUUAAAGUUAGAACAUUAAAGUGAAACUCUUCUCUCACUGUCAGCAGUUUCACUGACUGCCUGAUGGAUGAAUACUCAUAACAAUUAUCCAGUGUACGGCUGAGGGAUGGAAGGAUGGAGGAGUGAGAGUUGGAGAAGUGUAGAAACAGCCGACUAAUCGUCCUCUGACUGUGAAGGGUAUUAUCUAUAGGACACUCCCAGGCUGGCCCUCAAAUCCAAAUGAAUAAAGACAGACCACCGAACCUCUCCUCUCCGCCAUCUCUCCCUCCAUCUAUUCACCUUAAUAGAGGUCAGAGGUCAACAGAACUACAUAACAGCUGCACCUCUCCAGAAACGUUCCCUCUCAGCAUCGUAAACAAACGAAGAAGAACAAGGCAGAAAGAGCUGAAGUGCAGUAGUCCUCCCAUGUAAUGCCUCCUCCCUGUGUUCAUGUGUUCUGCCUUUGAGAGUGGGGACGCCAAAGGAAACAUCCAGGGAGAAGAAAGGGGAGAAAAGGGGAGGAAAGGGGAGAAAAGGGGAGAAAAGGGGAGGAAAGGGGAGGAAAGGGGAGAAAGUCAUUUGAACAUGUCAGUGGGGAGAUUAGAGGGUAAUCACAGAGAGGAAAGAGGAGCACUGACUCAACGAAAAAGAGGAAGUACACUAGAGAGAGAGAGAGAGAGAGAAAGAGAGCUGCCAGGGUUUUGUUCGGAUUGAGUAGGAGUGGUCUGGGUGUUUCUAGGUAAGUUAGCCCCAGAAUAAACAGCAGUGCUGGUCCCUGUGCCAGGCUUGGCUAAUGUCUUCUUAUUUUCAUACUGUUAUUUAGUGUCAUUGGGACAGCAGCAGGCCUCUAGAGAGGUGGGAUAUGGUAAUGGAGAAGGGUCUGGUUCAGUCCACGAAGUGUGUGUAUGUCUGUUAGCGAUGCGCGGGUUGACUCAUAACCUACAGUCCUCUCAGUUGUAUCCGUAGGGCGGGCGGGUUUAGGGUGAUGAAAUAUUUGUGUGGCUGAAGGGCGGGUUGAACAAGGAGAAAACAGUACCUUCAAA
ensembl:lncRNA